rnacentral:rRNA from 1 species
AUGAGCAUUAUAUGUUGGAACUGGCGAGGAUUGAGGUCGUCCUCGAUAGUUGGCAAGCUUCGCUGGCUUGUGAAGCUUCACCGACCCACCCUCCUCUUUUUGUCUGAAACGAAGAUGAGGGAUUCCCGUGUCCGUAAUUUUAUGUGGUCUUUAGGUUUUUCUGGUUGCUUUGCUAUCAGUUCAUAGGGUCAAAGUGGUGGACUAGCUCUUUUUUGGAAGGAUUCGGCGAGUGUAUCUCUGAAUGCAUGCAAUUCGAGAUGUAUUUAUGUUCAUGUAUCUUCUGACUUGGCUCCUACAUGGAGAGCUAUUUUUAUGGGGAACCAAGGAGAAAAGAUAUAG